rnacentral:rRNA from 1 species
UACGUAGGUGGCAAGCGUUACUCGGAAUCACUAGGCGUAAAGCGCGGGUAGGCGGUUGGGUAAGUCUGUUGUGAAAGCUCCUGGCUUAACUGGGAGAGGUCAACGGAAACUACCCGGCUAGAGUGUGGUAGAGGAAACUGGAAUUCCUGGUGUAGCGGUGAAAUGCGUAGAUAUCAGGAGGAACACCUAUGGCGAAAGCAGGUUUCUGGACCAUCACUGACGCUGAGCUGCGAAAGCUAGGGGAGCAAACAGG